GUCAUUAUCGCAUUCACACAUGCUGUGCAGACAGAGCUAGAAUGGCAGACAAACAUCAACAACCCGGUCUUCCUUCAUGGUAUAGUAAUACUUUUUUAAAGUUUUCUCGCUGGUAAAUGACACAUGAUGUAGCCCAGUAGUUCCCAGUGCUCGCACACAUAUUUUGCAUGUCUCGUUUAGUUAACACACCUGAUUUAGAUGACCAACUCGAACUACGUGAAUGAACUGUGUUCCAAUCUACAUGAUCCCUACACCGUGUUCAUUGCCCCCUACUCCCUGAGCAGGGGGUUACUUCACUUUGGAACAUGUACUGGAAUUGGGAACCGCUGUUGUAACCUAUUCUAUUGUAGUAAUGUUGUCUCUGAUAUGAUAUUCUGGUCUGUGAGCGUAUGCGUUCACGGGGCGUGGCUUUGGACAGCGAUUGCAGGACGUUGACUUUCAGUGCUAUUAGGCUCAUCUCUUAAUAAAGUUCCAGGCAAGCCCCUUUUAUUCACUCUCCAGGCGCCAAUAUUUACUCACAAUUGAUGUUUGGCAAUCAGCAGCACACAGACAGACGUGCAGCACUGAGGCUUCAACAAGCAGAUCUUCUGCAUCUGUAUACUCCUUUGGCUCUUUGAGAUCAUCUUCUGCACAUUCAUAGUCUGUUCCAAACUUCAAGAUGAGUUCCUUUGAUGGUGGGGCUUUUAGUUGUGCAGGGCCGAAGCUAUGGAACUCUGUACCUUUGCACAUUUGCCAGCUGGAUUCUGUUUCCCAUUUUAAAGUUCAGAUAAAAACUUAUUUGUUUAGAAUUCCUUUUAAUUUGUUUAGAUUUUCUUGUUUAAUUUUUUUUUUUAUAAUGCUUGCAUUUGAAAAAUGGAUCUCCGCAAAGGUUUGGUGAACUUGGUGUGUGUUAAAAUGAGCAAGACCUAAUGAAAUUGAAAAAGUGCUAAUAACUUUUGUUUACAUUAGCCUAUGAAACUGAUGUUGAUUGAUUCCUUGGAUCAUGCUAAGAAUAUCGAUACCAAUUAUCCAAUAAUUGACUGAAUUUCCUGUCUGCCAUUUUUAAUUGUUAAAAAAAACUUUUUCAAACUCUUCAUA